rnacentral:lncRNA from 1 species
GCUCAAUCUCUAGUUUUCACUUACUAUUGAGAAAUCAUAUAUAUAUAAAAGAGAAAAAAGUGGGAAUUUAUCUUAUAGCAUUAAUGGGUAAAACCCAUUAUAUAGUGCCUAUAGAGUCCUCUUAAGAAGCAGUUCAUUCAAAAACGGACUAUAAUGUUCACCUGUCACUCUGAGAACUUUCUUCCUGGGUAUCAAUUUUCUUAUGGGAAGUGAGUAUAGAGUAACAGCAGCAUUGUUUGUCAAUGUCCUCCUGUGAUUGUUAGCAAUGCAUCCUUGCACAUAUUGUUUCAGACAAAAAAUUAGUAUUUUGCAUUAGAAGAGGAUAAUUAGGCAAUAAGAUACAAAAGCGAGUGUGGUUAUCAUGAGAUAAACACACACAUGGGGUGUUAUGAGGCACAGCCAAGUGUCUGUAAUCCCUCUAGGGUAUGAUUAUCUCGUGAUAACCACACACCCUGGAGUUGCCUUAUUGCUAUUAUAAAAUAUCUUUAUUAUAGGAAGAAAUGUGCAUUUUUGUGCAGAAAGGAGACGGAGCUGGCAUUUAGAAUGCCGAACAGCAGUUUCAGCUGAGCUAUGUGGUUUACAUAGAUUAAUCUAUCCCAUUGGAAUGUUUCCCCAGCCAAAAAAAUGUUCCCUAAAUCCAAGCAGUCAUAAUCUGUAGUGAUGUGCAGCUAUUUGGAGCAUUUGAGAAAUUCCCUGCCUGGUUCUUAGGCUGUUGGUUUGAUGGUUGCAUGGGGUGAAUUCUGAGAUGCACAAUGACAAGAAGCUACAGUAUUGUGGAAGCUUGGUGUUCUGGGAACCCAAAUUGUGAUGCAUGCAAAUGUCAAAAUUCUGUACAAUAAUUUUAUCUGUUUUCUCGAUCAGAGUAAAUGUCUUAAAAUCCUUAUGAAAACAGCAUCUCACAACAGAAAUGUUCCUAAGGGAGAGAAAUUAUUAAGGUGGAAACAAGAAGAUGGAGAUGAAACUCAAAAUCGUGCGGAAGGAGUUGAUGAAUGUCACAGGACUCCUUCCAUUCAACCAUCUUCCAGUGUGACUGUUCUGGGAAUUGGCACUGAGUUUAUGGUGCCUUGUCACUACCAAUAGUGACUUCCAUUGAGUUAUUUCCUGCUACUGUCCUCUGCAAGUAGGACCUGUGUGUCCAUGCCUGCUAAUGCUAGCCCCUCAUUCCACAACACUGGUCCUGAUGCCAGCUACACCUGCCCCAGCACCACUCAGGUGAGUGUUACCAUUGGAACUGCCUCCCAGUCCUGCCUCCCAGUCCUGCCUUGUCUAUAGACUUGGAAGGCUGGACUCAACUAGUUCCGUACUGCUUUCAUCAUCAAGUCUUACAGACUCUGGGUUAAAACAUGUUUCUUGUUGAUAAUUUUUAGCUUUCUCUCUCCUGAAGAUUCAGAUAGCUGUGACGGCUGACUCCAUGUUAUCCUCAGCAUGCUCCUUUCCUUUAACGAUGGAAAAAAUGCUGUGGGAUUCUAUUUUUGCCCUUGGUUUCCUCUUACAAUUCUUUUUCAGAACCAUCCUCUCCUCGUCCCAACUUUCAGACAAGGAAACAUACAAGUAUACAGAUAUAGUUUGGUCAAACUGUGGCAGACACCGCUAAUUUCCUCCCAGCAUCUGUUUGCUUCUUCUUCAUUUCAGCAAUAGAACCUCCCCACUGAUGAUCCACCUCUGGGUCUCAGCAGGGCAUGUGGCAAGUUAGCUAGGCACCAUAUUUCCCAGCCUCCCUUAGGAUAAGGUGUGAUUCAGUGACUAGGUUCUUUCAACAGGCUUGACAGAAAGUAAUAUCUUAAGGUUUGACCUUAAAGACUAUGCCACAUACGUUAAUUUCCUUCUCUCUUCCUGUAUUCUUCUCUGGGCUAGAAAAUGGCAACAGCUGGAGCAGGUACCUUGAGCCCAGAGAUGGAAACCACAUAUCCAGGAUGAAUCUAGCAGCCUGUGUACUAAAGAUCCUGUGGACAAAGUAAGUGAAGCCUCCAGCCUUACUGCUAAUCUCUGAACUGUUAUGACAGGGAAACAGGCCUCUAAUUUGUUUGUUCCAUUCCAUUAUUGAGUAUUAUAGCAUUUGAUAUGUAUUCUUUUUUAUUAUUAUUAUUUUGAGAGGGGGGGUGGGAGAGGGAGACAGAGAAUCUAAAGCAGGCUCCGCACUGUCAACAAAGAGCCCAAUGUGGGGGUCUAUCUCACAAACUGCAAGAUCAUAACCUGAGCUGAAAUCAAGAGUCAGAUGCUUAACCAAAUGAGCCACCCAGUCUCAUUCAAACCAAUAUAGUAUUGGUCUGUAUUCAAACCAUUAUAGUAGGGUUGAGAGGAGAAGAGACAUCUGAUAUAUAUUUUAUCAUAUACAGAAAGUGUAAUGUAUUGAAGAAUCCAAUCUUUCUUUUUCUUAACAUUUCAAAUUUGUAUCUAAACUCUAGUUAAUAAACAGUGUAAUAUUAAUUUCA